UACGAAGGGUGCAAGCGUUACUCGGAAUUACUGGGCGUAAAGCGUGCGUAGGUGGUGAGUUAAGUCUGUCGUGAAAGCCCCGGGCUCAACCUGGGAAUGGCGAUGGAUACUGGCUCGCUAGAGUGCGGUAGAGGAGAGUGGAAUUCCCGGUGUAGCAGUGGAAUGCGUAGAGAUCGGGAGGAACAUCAGUUGCGAAGGCGGCUCUCUGGACCAGCACUGACACUGAGGCACGAAAGCGUGGGGAGCAAACAGG
rnacentral:rRNA from 1 species